GAUCCUGGCUCGGGAUGAACGCUAGCGACAGGCUUAACACAUGCAAGUCGAGGGGCAGCACAGGGUAGCAAUACUUGGGUGGCGACCGGCGCACGGGUGAGUAACGCGUAUGCAACUUACCUAUCAGAGGGGGAUAGCCCGGCGAAAGUCGGAUUAAUACCCCAUGAAACAGGGGUCCCGCAUGGGAAAUAGUUUGUUAAAGAUUCAUCGCUGAUAGAUAGGCAUGCGUUCCAUUAGGCAGG
rnacentral:rRNA from 1 species